UCCUUGCCGGGAGGGUAGGAGGUCCUCCUCCCAGAUCGAAGGUGUCGGAUUCCAGAGCCGAGAAAUUCACUUCCGCAUGGCGAUAGUGACGGCACCGAUUCAGCCGUAAGAUAAGUACUGGGCUCCACUCAGACCACCAGAUGGGGUGCGGUAAUGGUCCCAUUCGGGGAUCACAGUUUAAGACGGGGAGAGGAAGUAUCUCGGUUUCAUUUUACAGAGAAGGAAACGGAAGCAGCGAGAGGUUGAGUCAUUUACCCAGGGUCGCUCAGAAGGCCGGUGGCAGAGCUAAAUUUAGAAUCUAGGUCCGCCGACACCCUGUCCUCUGGUGUCUCCGUUUGUUCGGUUGCCUCCGUGUGAGAGCUAAUAAGGCCUGUGCCAGAAGUAUAGUGUUCUCUGGCAAUAAAGAAGCAGCUCCUUAGCUCCCUGCUUAGCUCCCGGAGGACCCAAAAUUCCGGCCUUUCCCGUGUCCCGAAAGAAUGGAAGAGGAGAGGAUGGCAACUGGCUUAUCCAGUGACGGUUCACUGGCUAAGGAGCGGAAGAGGAAAAAAUAGAGAAUUCUGGUGGCAGGAAAUGAUGGAUUACAGUGAUGGUGGAGUAGAGAGGAGAUUCCUUUAGCACAGAGAGAGAGGAAGAAUCACGAGUGCCACUUUUGAAGAUUUCAAGGCAAAUUACCCGCAGAGCGGGCAGGUAAUCGACGGAUACCGUGCGUUCUAAUCCCACUAAGGGGCCGAAAUGUUGCUAAAAAAAACACCUACCUUAAAACACACCUGCUCUGUAGGACUUACUAGGUCUUGAGGUCACGAUCACGUCUACUAACUCUAUUGUACUGUACUCUUCCAAGCGUUCUGCGCAUGAAAACGCUCAGACGGUGCCAGUCGUCGAUUGACAGUGUUAAUGACUGUACUCUCUGAGUGCUUAAUACAAUCCUCUGCGCACGGUAAAUUCUCAAUAAAUACCGCCGAUCCGUUGAA